rnacentral:rRNA from 1 species
UUAUUUGAGAGUUUGAUCCUGGCUCAGGAUGAACGCUGGCGGCGUGCCUAACACAUGCAAGUUGAGCGAUUUACUUCGGUAAAGAGCGGCGGACGGGUGAGUAACGCGUGGGUAACCUACCCUGUACACACGGAUAACAUACCGAAAGGUAUGCUAAUACGGGAUAAUAUAUUUGAGAGGCAUCUCUUGAAUAUCAAAGGUGAGCCAGUACAGGAUGGACCCGCGUCUGAUUAGCUAGUUGGUAAGGUAACGGCUUACCAAGGC